UACGGAGGAUCCAAGCGUUAUCCGGAUUCAUUGGGUUUAAAGGGUGCGUAGGCGGAUAAAUAAGUCAGUGGUGAAAGCCUUCAGCUUAACUGAAGAACUGCCAUUGAUACUGUUUAUCUUGAGUACAGAUGAAGUGGGCGGAAUGUGUCAUGUAGCGGUGAAAUGCUUAGAUAUGACACAGAACACCGAUUGCGAAGGCAGCUCACUAAGUUGUAACUGACGCUGAGGCACGAAAGCGUGGGGAUCAAACAGG
rnacentral:misc_RNA from 1 species